rnacentral:tRNA from 1 species
GGUUAUAUGGUGUAGCGGUUAGCACAGCGGAUUCUGAACAGGCCCGGGCUUACGUAAGCGCUGACCGUGAGAAUUCCGCCGACCCAGGUUCGAUUCCUGGUAUGACCU